rnacentral:rRNA from 1 species
GAUGAACGCUAGCUACAGGCUUAACACAUGCAAGUCGAGGGGCAUCAGGAACAUAGCUUGCUAUGUUUGCUGGCGACCGGCGCACGGGUGCGUAACACGUAUCCAAUCUGCCCGUUACUCGGGGAUAGCCUUUCGAAAGAAAGAUUAAUACCCGAUAGUAUUAUUAAGAGGCGUCUCAUUAUAAUUAAAGAUUUAUCGGUAACGGAUGAGGAUGCGUAUGAUUAGUUAGUUGGCGGGGUAACGGCCCACCAAGACUACGAUCAUUAGGGGUUCUGAGAGGAAGGUCCCCCACACUGGAACUGAGACACGGUCCAGACUCCUACGGGAGGCAGCAGUGAGGAAUAUUGGUCAAUGGACGAGAGUCUGAACCAGCCAAGUAGCGUGAAGGAUGACUGCCCUAUGGGUUGUAAACUUCUUUUGUUUGGGAAUAAAGUUAGGUACGUGUACCUAUUUGUAUGUACCAUUCGAAUAAGCAUCGGCUAAUUCCGUGCCAGCCGCCGCGGUAAAAC